CAUUCUUCCUCCAUUAUCUCACUGCCUCCGGUGGCUGCUGGGAUACCGGAGGACUCGGGUCCCGGCUCGACUCAGUCCUCCAGCCGCCCGGGGAAUACCUCUAGUUCUUCCCGGCCGCCGCCGCCUCCGCCCCGCCGCUUCCUCCUCCGCCUGCCGGCCUCCUUCGCCCCGCCCCGUCCGCGCAGCUCGUCCGGCCCGCCCGCAGGCCAGCUUCUCUCGGGAGCCUCCACCCAGGCGCAUGGCUCCAUGAAGCAAGAGGAGGAGGCAGAGCGCGAGAGAUCCCGUCCGCCCCAGCCGCGUCUGGGCCAGGAGAAAAGCAAAACCAUAUUCCUGCUGCUGUCAGUUUUGAUGCACUGAGAAAACUUCAGAGACCUAAGCUUUUUCCAGAGAAGAGAAGCUUUACUGGUGUUCCAGCCCUAAGGCUCAUAUGACAUUAACAGACAAGACACUUUUCAGAAAGACAGGCAACGUGUUGGACCUUCCGGAGCUUCUCAGAAGACAGAGGGUUUUCUUUUGAGGUGUGUUUGUCAAAGUGUCUCUGAUGAACCACAACAAGUUUGUCAAGUGCAAGAAGACUUCAGCUGUGCUGGGCUCCAUCAACCCUGUGUACAAUGAGACCUUCAGCUUCAAGGCCGAUGCCACCAAGCUGGAUACCGCUAGCCUCAGCCUGACCGCGGUGCAGAACAUGGAAGGGGACAGUAAGGCCACACCCUACCCUGGGCUGCUGGGAUGGGGACCACGAGGGGCUGCCGAGUGUUCAGGCAGAGUGAGUGCCUCCUGUCCUGACCUCAGAAGGAGCUGUACGAGCUCCCUCCCUGGUUAAGGAAACUAGUGCUCAGAAAGGCUGAAAUACUUGCCCAAGGCCUGGGUUUCAUGCCCAGCUUUAGUCCAGUUGAGCUCUGUCUGUGGCACCCUAGAAACAGGUUAAGCAGCCAGGCUGGUCUCGAACUCCCGACCUCAGGUAAUCCGCCUGCCUCGGCCUCCCAAAGUGCUGAGAUUACAGGCGUGAGCCACUGCGCCAGGCCUAAUUUUGUAUUUUUUAGUAGAGACUGGGUUUCUCCAUGUUGGUCAGGCUCGUCUCGAACUCCGGACCUCAGGUGAUCUGCCUGUCUCGGCCCCCCAAAGUGCUGGGAUUACAGGUGUGAGCCACUGCGCCGGGCCUGGCAACUCACUUUCAAGCUGGCUGGGCUUGGCUCCUCACAUUUGUGCAUUCUGAACACAGGCUGCAGGGACAGCUGCUACCCCCAGGGAAAGCUCUUUUCGUGGUGAAGGGAGAAGCAUAAAAAGGCAAGCUGCAUUGUGCAUAUGCAUAUCUGUGUCUCUCCUUAUGUUGUGUCAUCCAAUAUCCCAUUGGCCAAAGCACGUCACAUAGCCAAGCUCCAAAUCAAGGGUCAGAGAAGUAAAUGAUAUCUUUUUCCUG
rnacentral:lncRNA from 1 species